rnacentral:rRNA from 1 species
UACGUAGGGUGCGAGCGUUGUCCGGAAUUAUUGGGCGUAAAGAGCUCGUAGGCGGUCUGUCGCGUCGAUCGUGAAAACUUGGGGCUUAACCCUGAGCUUGCGGUCGAUACGGGCAUGACUGGAGUUCGGCAGGGGAGACUGGAAUUCCUGGUGUAGCGGUGAAAUGCGCAGAUAUCAGGAGGAACACCGGUGGCGAAGGCGGCUCACUGGACUGGUAUUGACGCUGAGGUGCGAAAGCGUGGGGAGCAAACAGG